AAGAGGAUGCGUCAGUCGCAAGAUGAAGCGUUGAAUUGAAGCCCGAGUAAACGGCGGCCGUAACUAUAACGGUCCUAAGGUAGCGAAAUUCCUUGUCGGUUAAAUACCGACCUGCAUGAAUGGCGUAACGAGAUGGGAGCUGUCUCAACCAGAGAUUCAGUGAAAUUGUAGUGGAGGUGAAAAUUCCUCCUACCCGCGGCAAGACGGAAAGACCCCGUGGACCUUUACUACAACUUAGCACUGCUAAUGGGAAUAUCAUGCGCAGGAUAGGUGGGAGGCUUUGAA
rnacentral:rRNA from 1 species